UAGUGCGAUCAUACAAGCACUAAUGCACCGGAUCCCAUUAGAACUCCGCAGUCAAGCGUACCUGGACGAGAGUACUAUUAGGCUAGGUAACCUCCUGGGUGGUCCUCGUAUUACACCCC
rfam:Gossypium raimondii scaffold_671_contig_2, whole genome shotgun sequence.